rnacentral:lncRNA from 1 species
AUAUUAAGUGCUCAGUGCUCUGCUCAGAACAGAUCAAAGCCUAUGGAAAAACAAGCCCCACUGCUACUACGCCCCGGGUGGGCUUCUCAACCCUGCUGUCUGUGAAUGUCCCAAAGCCCACAGGGGCCUCCAGUCCAGGACUCGGCUAGCAGGUACUGAGUAACUCAGUCUCACAGUCAAAGCCUUUAGAGAUUUUCAUAUCACAUGUUUUUGCUAACAUACAAGUCACUGGCAAUUUUUUAAAAGCUGGCACAAUACCCGCGAAGAACAUAGGCAUUUAUCAUUUCUUUACACCUACCGAGUACCUCUCCCAACACUAUGUGUAGCAGUGUACGGAAGGGCACACUAAGGGUACCACCCCAGGUCUUAGUGCUAUAUUUGAAGUCGCUGAACAGCGGCCUAUUGAGAAAUAAAGACAAGCAAUGAGGCCAACAAAUGAACAAAGAAGCACUCCCUGAACCUGAGUGGAGGAAAAAAUCUUAACAGUGUCUCCAUUGCCAUUACAAAAAUCCUGUAACGCUCAGAGUAUGCAGAACCAAGAGUUUAUAAAUGUACUGCACUUUACAAAUUAUUAAAUCAGAUGGCAGCAUUACCCGCUCAUCAGGAUGUCCAAAUAAAUCUGUAUUUCAAGUGGCUGCAAACCAGAAUUCCCAUCUGCUGUCCUGCGGCACCCAGGUUAACCUUACCAGUGGGGCUCAGAGCACUGUUAUCUCAGCUAAGAAGAGCAUAGAUGAAGAAGCGUGCCCAUGCCUGAGAGAGCCACGAGGGCCCCUCCCCAAGAUGUCCACUCAGCUCAGAGAGGAUUGAACCAGGCAGGAGCCGAGGUGACCUUAGAAAUUCAUUAUUCCCUUCCUGUUCCAUCAGAACAGAUUUACGAAGUUAAGAUUGGGUUUUUCUGUGAUGCACAUACAACUUGUAGAAAGAAGAACAUACGGUUUCCUGCCUCCUACUCCAGCAAUACACAAGAACAUGCAAAUGAUGCUU